rnacentral:rRNA from 1 species
GCGUAUCAAUAAGCGGAGGAAAAGAAACUAACAAGGAUUCCCCUAGUAACGGCGAGUGAACCGGGAAGAGCUCAAAUUUGAAAUCUGGCGUCCUCAGGGCGUCCGAGUUGUAAUCUAUAGAGGCGUUUUCCGUGCCGGACCGUGUCCAAGUUCCUUGGAACAGGAUAUCAAAGAGGGUGACAAUCCCGUACUUGACACGAUGACCGGUGCUCUGUGAUACGUCUUCUACGAGUCGAGUUGUUUGGGAAUGCAGCUCAAAAUGGGUGGUGAGUUCCAUCUAAAGCUAAAUAUUGGCGAGAGACCGAUAGCGAACAAGUACCGUGAGGGAAAGAUGAAAAGCACUUUGGAAAGAGAGUUAAACAGUACGUGAAAUUGUUGAAAGGGAAACGAUUGAAGUCAGUCGUGACUGAGAGGCUCAGCCGGUUCUGCCGGUGUAUUCCCCUCAGUCGGGUCAACAUCAGUUUUGUCCGGUGGAAAAGGGCGGUAGGAACGUGGCACCUCCGGGUGUGUUAUAGCCUGCCGUCGCAUACAUCGGGUGAGACUGAGGAAUGCAGCUCGCCUUUAUGGCCGGGGUUCGCCCACGUCCGAGCUUAGGAUGUUGACAUAAUGGCUUUAAACGACCCGUCUUGAAACACGGACC